AGCUUGCUGUUUCGCUGACGAGUGGCGGACGGGUGAGUAAUGUCUGGGAAACUGCCUGAUGGAGGGGGAUAACUACUGGAAACGGUAGCUAAUACCGCAUAACGUCGCAAGACCAAAGAGGGGGACCCUCGGGCCUCUUGCCAUCGGAUGUGCCCAGAUGGGAUUAGCUUGUUGGUGGGGUAACGGCUCACCAAGGCGACGAUCCCUAGCUGGUCUGAGAGGCUGACCAGCCCAACUGGAACUGAGAC
rnacentral:rRNA from 1 species